UGUCAUUGUAUCUUCUCAGUGAGCUAACAGCAGCCCCUCCUUGGUUCACUUCUUUCCUGUAACUUUUCUAGGGAGCCAAAAUAGCCCUGUCUCGGCUCUCUCCUGUUACUUCUUCCACCCUAAAUUUUUCUUUUGUUUCACUGUCCCCAGCCUUAAUAAACUUAUUCUCAAAAUCACCUGGACUCA